rnacentral:rRNA from 1 species
UACGUAGGGUGCGAGCGUUAAUCGGAAUUACUGGGCGUAAAGCGUGCGCAGGCGGUUUUGUAAGACAGGCGUGAAAUCCCCGGGCUCAACCUGGGAAUUGCGCUUGUGACUGCAAGGCUAGAGUACGUCAGAGGGGGGUAGAAUUCCACGUGUAGCAGUGAAAAUGCGUAGAGAUGUGGAGGAAUACCGAUGGCGAAGGCAGCCCCCUGGGAUAACACUGGCGCUCAUGCACGAAAGCGUGGGGAGCAAACAGG